UACGAAGGGUGCAAGCGUUACUCGGAAUUACUGGGCGUAAAGCGUGCGUAGGUGGUUUGUUAAGUCUGUUGUGAAAGCCCCGGGCUCAACCUGGGAAUGGCAAUGGAUACUGGCAAGCUAGAGUGCGGUAGAGGGUAGUGGAAUUCCCGGUGUAGCGGUGAAAUGCGUAGAGAUCGGGAGGAACACCAGUGGCGAAGGCGGGCUACCUGGACCAGCACUGACACUGAGGCACGAAAGCGUGGGGAGCAAACAGG
rnacentral:rRNA from 1 species